UGUCUCGGCAAGAGCUGAAUGUCAACUAGUCAAAGAUGGAGUCCGGAGCUGGAAGGCCGUGCGGGUGCCAGUGACCGGAACACCGCUUCAUGGAACCGUUCCGCCUCUCAAAAAACUGUCAGCGGCUCGCGCGAACGGAUCCUGCACACUGAGGGACGACGGACCGAACAGGAGGGCUUUUAUUUCUCAAAUCAGUUCGCCAACCUGCUUGUGCUUGUGGAGCUGGAGGGUAUGGACCGGCCCUAUCUUUCAGCGGAGCCUUCAUAUCCGCGCGGGGYGGACACAGAAAACCACCGGUGGACAGACGUGGGUGGCCGUGGAUGUGACGGGCUGCGUGGAGCUUCCACAAGCCCUGAGCUGUAUAUGUCCAUUGUGUUGUGUGUGUGUGUGUGUGUGUGUGUGUGUGUGUGUGUGUGUGUGUGCGCGCGCGCGCGCGCGUGAAAGCAAACGCGUACACAUUUGUGAGGGAUGAAAUAUAAGCGUGCGCGUUUCUGACAAAUUUACUGACGGGUAGGUGCUGUGCAAGGAACCUAUUCCCUUUAGAAAAAGAGCACCAGAGGAGUGUGUUUUUCCUUUUCUUUUUUUAAAUUUAUUUAUUUAUUUAUUUAUUUAUUUAUUUGUUUAUUUAUUUAUUUGUACUGUAACAUGUGUGCCAUUUUUUCAACAUUUAAUUUGUUCAUUCUUUUUUCUGGGUUAAAGUAGGCUACUAAUUUCUCCAGAAAUCUUUUAAAAAAAUUACAUUAUAGAAAGAGCAGUGAACCUGAAGAAAUCACCAUUUGUCUAAAUACUGUCAAAUUUAUUUCAUCCACAUUUUUUGGCUUUUGUAUUUAUCGUCAUCUUUUAUUUAUUGGAGUGCUUAUUGAUAAAAUCAAAUCCAACUAAAUAGCUACUGUACAAAUAAAAAAAAAUACUGCACAAAUCAAAAAUAAAUUCUGCACAAAUCAAAAAUAAAUACUGCACAUAGUAUUAAUAGAAAACUGUAACAGUUUAAUGCAUUGACUGGUGCUUAUUUUUUUCUUUCUUUCUAUAUGAAAACACCUUAAUAAAAACUCAUUUUACAGAAAGAGAAGUGAUCCUAAAUCAUUGUUUUACUAAAUACUACAAAAUUCAUUUUUAUACUUUCAGUAUAUAGAAAACAAAUUAAUGAUAACCAGCAAAUCCUCAUACAUUUCCAAAGGAUGUAAUUAUAGUGGUUUUAUGUGGCCUGAAAAAAGAUUUAAAAAAUUAGAAUAAAACCAGUAAGUUUUAUUUAGGGUUUUCAAGGAAAAAAAAAAAAACAACAACAAAAAAUACUCUGAGCUCAGUAUUUUGUCUAUAGUUGCACAUAUGGUUUACCUUGCUGUGAAUGUGGCUUUAUUCAAGUUAGAAUAGUCAAAAAUAUAAGGAACAAAGUGUAAUCUGUUGGAGACAGGCUACACUGUCUUAAUGGUUAAUUAAACAGGUUCAAUGUAAAGUGACACUGAGAGGAAAAUUCAGACUGAACAGCCUUUGGUGUAUUGCCUGUUGUGGUUUGGAUGACAUGGACUAUUUUUGUUUGUAUGAUUUUGUUCUGGUCUUUAAAAUCAUCUUAUGAUGAACCUGGAGAGAAAAAUAAGCUCCUAGUUCAUUGGAAAUAACAUUACCCAACUCUCUGCCCUUCCACACAUUCCCCACCCCUUGGUUUCCUGGAGUUUCACAUUGCCACUUUGGCUAAAAAGACAAGAAUAGCAGCUGUUAAAUAAAAGUUUCUGGUGUUGUAUCACGGAAGGUGCUCUUUGCCCUAUAUAUGUUUUCUCCACCCUCACUUCCUCCCAGCAGAACCGUGUUCACUGCUUGUUUUCAGAGACGAUGCAGUCCACUGAGCUGUUUGUCCUUUUUUAUCAGAGUUCACUAUGUUUCCAUCGGGCCUGUACACCACACCACAACCACACUUGAGGCUUUUUAAGUCUGUUUUUAGCUGUUCAUGGCUGUUGCUCUGUUUGCAACAUGUUGGUGAUGGAUAGUUACGUUAAGCUCACGUGGAGGCUGCAGCCUCUGCCACUGACUCUGUUUGGUGAGGAUGGAAGUGACAGCUGAAUGCUCUGUUUCUCAAUAGACUUGGAUGUGUUGAAAAAUAAUGUGUUCUAAAGCUCUUUUUCUGUUGUACUACUGUGAAAUCAGAUGAGCAGUGCAAUAUUAAAAGGGCAUUGGCUUGCACACAUUACCACCAUGCUACCCCCCUUUCUCCAGUUCCCAUCCUCUUUCUCAAUUACUGUAUUCACAAAUAUUCUUCCAACAUAAGAUAGUGUAGAAUUUAGAUCUGUGUUGGACCCAAAGCUCAGACCGCCAAUGGAAAUUGGUUGUGGAACGUGCUGGUUGUGUUUGUGAGUGAAGCAACUUGCAGAGGUCAGCUGCUUUGACAAUGUUGCACUACUGUACCAUCUACUAAAGCAGUGCAAUAAUAUUGUCAUAGCAUUCGGCCUUUGGCCUGCGCUACAGCAGCUGGAGGGCAGAUGAUGGUGAAACAGUGAAAAACAGCAGAUUCUUUUUUUAACUGUAAGAUGCCUUCAACCCGUAGAUGCCAAUCACAUGAUGCUCAGCAAAUCUUUAUAAAAAGAUGCUACUUAGACAAGUUGGUUUCAAAUGUCUAAAAAAAAUCAUGUUUURGUUAUUUAUGUGUACGUAUGAGUGUUUUUUGUUUUUAAUUUUUUAUUACAUGUUUUAUGAUGCAACCAACAUUUUUCACCCACAAAACAUUUUUAUUUUUAUGGUAGAUUUGUAAAAUUUAACAGAUAAAUUGUAAAAUAGCCACAGUUUUGUCCUGAAUAUUUUUAUAUAUAUAAUAUUAAAAAAUAUUCAGGACAAAACUGUGGCUAUUUUACAAUUUGUCUGUUAAAUUUUACAAAACAUGACACAUUAAAAACUGCUUUAGUUUAGCAGAACAUUUGAUCUUUUUUUUAAAGUAGGUUACUUAAAAAUAUGCCUGUAACUUGUAUAUAAAUAAAAAUCCCUGCAUAUGUAUAGUGUUGUUAAUGCGUGAGUUUCUAUAGAAACACAUAUCUGCAUACACAUACACACUCAUCCUGACAAAAACUUAUCAUUUUUAUCUAACGUGAUGGAUUGACUAUUAUGGCUUUAUUAUUUUGACUGGUAUUUGCAGUUUAAUAAGUUUAAUAGAAGUUAAAAUUUUACAGAACUCGUCAGUCUAUUGAAAACUGAAAAUUUGUAUUUUUUCUUAGUUUUAAAAUAAGUGUAAAGGCAUUCAAAAGGAAACCAAUUUUAAUCUUAAACUGGGUUUUUAGUGUGUCAUGCUGAACUGUAACAGUUCAGUGAAGCUUAACAAGUAAAAAAUUAGCCUGGAAUCAGCAAGUCAGUGACAUGGUAGCAUGUCAUUUGUUUUGGAAACUGUUAGAACCAGUGGAGGUUACAAAGUUCAGAGGUUCCUCAGACAGGAAGAAGAGUGUGGCUUUUUUCUUCAUCUGCACCAUUAUCAUGCUGUAUUUUACCCUGUAGGAUAUGGGCUACCUGGACCACACCUCCUAAAAAAGAACAUCAUGUUCACAGAACUGUACAGGUUGUCUAGGUUUGCUCUGCAGAUCAUGUAUCCGAUUAAAAAACAAGUUAUUGAGUCAAUCUACCAAACUUUUCUCACAUGUGUUGCUACAUGCUGACCCAAAAUAUGAAAUAAUUUUUAGUCAAAACUGCAUCAAAUGUAAUUGUAAGUCUUCUUUGUCCUCUUUCAGUUAUCAGGAUUCAACUUGUGACUGAAUUAAAAAUGAUAACCGUGGCAUCAGACAUGAAAUGAAAACACAGUUUAACCACAACAAUUAUAUUUUUGCAUGACGAGGCAGGGAAGAGUGAUGCUGACAGACGCUGACAGUGCUCCGGUAACAAGCACCACAAACUUUAGAGUUCCUACCAAGCCGUCUUCCUCCAUACACCUCCUGUUUUCAGGGGACUGGG